rnacentral:rRNA from 1 species
ACGGCGAGUGAAGCGGCAACAGCUCAAAUUUGAAAUCUGGACCUAGUCCCGAGUUGUAAUUUGCAGAGGAUGAUUUUGGCGCGGUGCCUUCCAAGUUCCCUGGGACGGGACGCCGGAGAGGGUGAGAGCCCCGUCAGGUUGGACACCAAGCCUAUGUAAAUCUCCUUCGACGAGUCGAGUAGUUUGGGAAUGCUGCUCUAAAUGGGAGGUAUAUGUCUUCUAAAGCUAAAUACCGGCCAGAGACCGAUAGCGCACAAGUAGAGUGAUCGAAAGAUGAAAAGCACUUUGGAAAGAGAGUUAAACAGCACGUGAAAUUGUUAAAAGGGAAGCGUUUACGACCAGACUUGUGCCGGUUGAUCAUCCAGCGUUCUCGCUGGUGCACUCUGCCGGCCCAGGCCAGCAUCAGUUCGCCGCGGGGGAUAAAGGCGUCGGGAAUGUGGCUCCCCCGGGAGUGUUAUAGCCCUUCGCGCAAUACCCUGAGGCGGACUGAGGUUCGCGCAUUCGCAAGGAUGCUGGCGUAAUGGUCGUCAACGACCCGUCUUGAAACACGGACCAAGGAGUCGUCUUCGUAUGCGAGUGUUCGGGUGUAAAACCCCUACGCGUAAUGAAAGUGAACGCAGGUGAGAGCUUCGGCGCAUCAUCGACCGAUCCUGAUGUUCUCGGAUGGAUUUGAGUAAGAGCAUACGGGGCCGGACCCGAAAGAAGGUGAACUAUGCCUGUAUAGGGUGAAGCCAGAGGAAACUCUGGUGGAGGCUCGCAGCGGUUCUGACGUGCAAAUCGAUCGU